CUUCUGGGCAGGGAGGGGCAGGUGGCGGCACUGCCCUGAGAGUGUCCUUCUGCGUGGUGUCUCAGCAUGGGCGGCAGGAAGUGACCGUCUGCGUCUGAGUAGGACUUCACUAGAAAGCCAGCUUUGGGGGACGAGAACAGACCUUUUCUAAAACAGGAUGGAGCAGGCAUCUCUUUCAGCAAGGACAAGAGGUCCUUGUUUUCUUGGAAGCAGAGAUUGGGCAAUGUAUGUCAGCAGUGAGAGCAUGGUGACACCCCCGUGGCAGCUGGCAGCCCCAGACAGAAGAGCCCCAGCUGCUCACCACAACUCAUGGAGCUGCACCAUAAGGAUUUCAAAUCUGCUUCUGAAGCAGAGCUUCCUUCUGGAGAGGUAUUUCAAAAC